rnacentral:lncRNA from 1 species
AAUUAAUUCUUUUUUUGUAUUGGUUUUAGAAUUCAUUUACUGACGUUUUUCUUAGACCUUGGGAUGCAUUAUGAGGUUUCUAAAUUGAAAUAUCUUAGAUUUUCAAAUGGAGGUAGCCCUUAGUAUAAACUGUCCUCAUACAACUGCUUUUGGUGGAUUAGUGGAGGGAUAUCAGAAGGGAUAGAAAAUGUACUGGGCAGUAAGAUUUGUCUAAAUAUGUUAUAUGCAUUUCUGUAUAAGUUACAAUGAACCCCAUUAUCUCAUAUAUAUAUGAUCCACAACCCUAGCCCUCGUGUUGAUAGUUCUCUAUUGUCCUUCUAUCCUGGUUUUAUAGAGUUAGUAGACAACUGAAUAUAAUAUUUGGCUGAUUUGCAGAGUAUAUAUAACACUGUGAUAUAAAAUAUUUCCAUUUUUAAUGUGUGCUUCUCUAGUUUUUUAAUCUAAUUUAUUUCAAAUCUGGAAAAUUAGGUGUCUCCUUAGAAUACUGAUUAGGCAAUCUUCAAAUAAUUCAUUAGUUGCUUAACUAUCUCUCAGAUUCUUCCUCAGAAUAGUGUUGGUCAUUCAUUUGGUGAUGCACAUCAAAGAGAAAAAGAUGGUAUAAAUGGACGUACAGAAGGUAAGAACCACUCAUUAUAAAAUCAUUGGAUAUAAUGCAUAUUUAAAACAUGAGCACUAGUAUGAUUUAAUAGUGGAAGAAAUGAAAAUAAUAAAUAGUAUGGGAGUUGAAAUAGUGUAUCUUAUCAAGUUGCAACCACAGGGUAAGUUGGAGUGGUCCUAGAGGAGCUGAGUUAUUAGGUCCAGACCUGCUGAAAUUAGAGGAAAUUUGGGACACAAGAAAGGGGAGAGAAGAAUUCAGAAAUGAAGAAUGAGAAAAGACUAUAGACAACAACAACCAAAA